GACGAAGGAUGCAAGCGUUAUCCGGAUUCAUUGGGUUUAAAGGGAGCGUAGGCGGCCUUAUAAGUCAGUGGUGAAAUCUUUGGGCUUAACCCAAAAAUUGCCAUUGAUACUGUAGGGCUUGAGUACAGUUGCUGUGGGCGGAAUAUGACAUGUAGCGGUGAAAUGCGUAGAUAUCGAGAGGAACACCGUAGCGGCGAAGG
rnacentral:rRNA from 1 species